rfam:Methylobrevis pamukkalensis strain PK2 A6302_contig000166, whole genome shotgun sequence.
CAGCGGGACACGCCUCCCCAACGAGGCGCGCCCAUCUGAAAGGAUGGACAGA